CUUAAAUCAAAACAUCACACCACCAAACACCUUCUGAAAGGAUGACCACAGAUUAUGAGCUCACAGUCUUCAGUUUUGAUUGUUUGCACUGUGAUUGUUUGACCACUGGUGAUGACAGAGAACUGACAGAUAAAUUCAUGGACUGUGUGGCCCGGGCAGAUCUGACAGGAGGGCAGUUUUUUAUCGAUGUAUGAAGGUCUUAUUGGGCGAGGGAGUCAAGUGGGAGAAACACAGAUGAAUGAAGAUGACACCAUUCCAGCCUCUCUGCUACUCUAAUGAAAAACAAACUCAUUUUCAGAAAGUUUUCUGGGUAAUGAGACAGUCAGCCAGCCAUAUCGAAACACAGAGACCACAACUUUUCACAGUAUUACCUUACUUUUGAGGCCAACACAUCAACUUGCAAUUUCAAGCCAAAAGACAAUUAUUGAGUAGUGUUUGAAAAAUGCAUAUUUAAUCGCAAAAAUGUUUUAGAAUGAGAUUGUGGCAUGUUUCAGUGUAUUUGUUGACCAAUGCUUUAAACA